GCCCAGAUAGCUCAGUUGGUAGAGCACCUGACUACAGAUUCAGGGGGGCCCGGGUUCGAAUCCUGGUCUCAGACU